CACGUAGGGCGCAAGCGUUGUCCGGAAUUAUUGGGCGUAAAGAGCUCGUAGGCGGUCUGUUGCGUCCGCUGUGAAAACUCGGGGCUUAACCCCGAGCCUGCAGUGGAUACGGGCAGACUAGAGGUAGGUAGGGGAGAAUGGAAUUCCCGGUGUAGCGGUGAAAUGCGUAGAGAUCGGGAGGAACAUCAGUGGCGAAGGCGGCCAUCUGGAUCAACACUGACGCUGAGGCACGAAAGCGUGGGGAGCAAACAGG
rnacentral:rRNA from 1 species